ensembl:lncRNA
CCUAGACCCAACACUAACCCCUGCCCUCCGCCUGGACCCAACACUAACCCCUGCCCUCCGCCUGGACCCAACACUAACCCCUGCCCUCCGCCUAGACCCAACACUAACCCCUGCCCUCCACCUAGACCCAACACUAACCCCUGCCCUCCGCCUGGACCCAACACUAACCCCUGUCCUUACUCCAGUUAUACCCAGACCUGUGGAUUAAUCCUUCAGAGAAAGUAUAUCUUGACAUGACCAGAUCAAUAAACAUGUCUGAAGAUGGACAUUCAUCUGUCUUUUAUUUUCCUUAAUAUUUUUUUGUAAAUCUGACACAUUUAUAUAUCAGAUUAUAUGUGAACUCAUGAUGUCGAGGUCAGUGUGACCCCAGGUCCCUUGUCAGGUAGAGGUCAGUUUAACCCCAGGUCUUAUUUGAUUUACAGAUCUGGUUGACCCCAGGUCCUGUAUAAGUUAGAGAUCCUGUUGACCCCAGGUCCUGUAUAAGUUAGAGAUCCGGUUGACCCCAGGUCCUGUAUAAAUUAGAGAUCCGGUUGACCCCAGGUCCUGUAUAAGUUAGAGAUCCGGUUGAACCCAGGUCCUGUAUAAGUUAGAGAUCUGGUUGACCCCAGGUCCUGUAUAAGUUAGAGAUCCGGUUGACCCCAGGUCCUGUAUAAGUUAGAGAUCCGGUUGAACCCAGGUCCUGUAUAAGUUAGAGAUCUGGUUGACCCCAGGUCCUGUAUAAGUUAGAGAUCCGGUUGAACCCAGGUCCUGUAUAAGUUAGAGAUCUGGUUGACCCCAGGUCCUGGUUGAAGAAGAAAUGAUGGGCUGAUGGUUAGUCCACUGGAUGAUGAAAUAUUGUAGAACAGCUGCUUCUGUUAGUUGCUGGCUCACUCCGUCCCAUAUCACAUUCAGGCCACGACUUCCUCUAAACAUACAGACAGAAACAGGAAGUUGGUUUACAAAAGUAUCAUGACCUUUGUAUGGCAAGGAGAUACACUUCCACUACAGCACAGCUACUUCCACUAUCAGAAAAUGUGAAGUAGACCAAAGCAAAGCACGGCACUUUCUGUCUUAUCAAGAUUAGAGAUGGAAAAUGAGGGUCGUAGUUAACACUGGUAUUGGCUGGAAUAUUCAACAAGAUAUGCUGAUAAAGUUACCUGUGUGUGUGUGUGUGUGUGUGUGUGUGUG